UCGGACUGUAGUCUGCAACCCGACUACACGAAGCUGGAAUCGCUAGUAAUCGCGGAUCAGCAUGCCGCGGUGAAUACGUUCCCGGGUCUUGUACACACCGCCCGUCACACCAUGGGGAGCCGGAAAUGCCCGAAGCCUGUGACCCAACCCAAUAGGGAGGGGAGCAGUCGAAGGUGGAGCCGGUAACUGGGGUGAAGUCGUAACAAGGUAAC
rnacentral:rRNA from 1 species